rnacentral:misc_RNA from 1 species
AACACUGUUAACCUGCGGUACCUGCGGAGGGAUCAUUACCGAGUUUACAACUCCCAAACCCCUGUGAACAUACCUAUACGUUGCCUCGGCGGAUCAGCCCGCGCCCCGUAAAACGGGACGGCCCGCCCGAGGACCCUAAACUCUGUUUUUAGUGGAACUUCUGAGUAAAACAAACAAAUAAAUCAAAACUUUUAACAACGGAUCU